CAGCACAUAGUUUCUAGAACAUAGUGACUGUUCAUUAAAUAUUUACUGACUGAAUGAAUGGCUUUAAGUUCCUUCACUUUCCUCACAGUGCUCACUGGCCUCUAUUUGGAACUGGGCUGAAAUACAUAAUGUAUUAUCCCUGAGAGUGACAUAAGGUCUUUCCCCCACCACCAUUCUUUUGAUGGUUAGGAAAAGCAAUAUUCAGGUAAAAUGAAAAUAAAAUGUUUUAUUCCAGGGGACCAAAAUUUAGUGUCAACUGUGGAGUUGAAUUUAGAAACAGGAGAUAACUGGGUAGAAUCUGAAUGAAUUAUGAGGAAGAAAUCUGAAUGACAUUUUAAUGAAAUACAAUGUUGUUUAAAUAUGCUCCCAUUCUGAAUGAAAUACACUGUCUUAGAUCCCCCCCGCCACUUACUUUUCAACAAAAGUAUACUCUGCCCCUUAUUCUCAUUGGGAGGCUAAGUAUCUAUUUCCUUAUAUUCUUGCCAUAGUGACUUUUCAGAUAGGUAACAUUAUCAAACUGCCUUUUAUGAGUGUGUGGAGAAAAGGAGAAUGGAAUUGUACAAGAUUAAUGAAACAAAUGCAGAUUGAGAGAUUUCCCAGGUGGUUAAGUAAAACUACCCAGGCGCACUCAGACACCCACACCCCAUCCUCAAGAUAGUUUUGGCUCUGAUCAGCAGAGAUAAAUUUUCCUACCUGACAAUUGACUGUAUAAGAAAGUGUGUCUUAAUAGUCACAGAUUUCUGCUUCUGUUUGCUGCUGUCUCAGGCAAUCCUUCACCUGCUGGGACGAAGGACCUGAAGGAUCUUGGCAUACAGAGAGGUGGUGCUUAGCAGCAAGUAAAAAGGCAGAAGAGGGGCAAUUCAGAGGGAGUGGCCCAGGAAAUACUCAUUAAUAAUUCCCUGCUGGGAUGAACACCUACUGGAGGCAUUCAAGGAACAACAACAAAUAAAAGCUAUUUUCCUAUAAAGGAAAGAUAAGCCCUUGGCGCUAGUGACUUCUCUCUCACUUGUUGGAGCUGUCACAAUAUUAUAGUGUUUACCACUUUGCUGUUAUGACUGCAGAGAGAUGACUGUGAGGGUCAUUGGCCUCCAUAUAAAUGACCAACGAGAGAAGCUGCUAAUGUUUGGUUAAAUGGUUUGAAAUUUCUCUCCAAGUCAAGUAUGUGGUGCACACCCGUUAAUCCCAGUGACUCAGGAGGCUGAGGCAGGAGGACUGCAAGUAGAGGCCAGCCACAGCAACUUGGCAAGACCCUGUCUCAAGAAAAUAAAAGGGUUGGGGGGGUGAUGCUCACCCUCAGGUGAAAGAGCACCCUCAGGCUCAAUCCCCAGCAUUACAUAAGUAAAUAAAUAAAUAAAAAUUUAAAAACUA